GGCAAAACAGCAAUCUUAGUCUAUACAGAGGGAUCUGUCACAAUAGUUCAUACUGUAAAUCAAGGUAGUGGCCUUCUCCAUACUGCCCAAUAGGGCAUUUUACACAGUAAAGAUCCUCCCCACAAAAGGGCUGGAGUACGCGAUACAACCUCAUUCUAACGUCAUGGGAUAGAUUGCCAUCUGUCGUUCAAUUCCCACAAUGCUUUGCCAGCUGGGAAUUUACCUUCUGCCCAUCAUUAGAGGCUUGAUUUAGCACUGAGCCGUGUUUGUGAGUUUGAAUGUAAGCGUUUGUUGUAUAGGGGUGUGUGUGUGUGUGUGAAUGUAGGGGUGUGUCUGUCUGCAGUGUUUUUGUUUAAAUUUGUGUGUACUGUUGGAGUUUGAAGGCUGCACAUACACACAAUUUAUGUACCAUUUAUAAAGAAAAUAUGAGUAAGCAGGGAAAACACAUUUCUUGUAUUUCUUUGGAUUCAAAUCUAACUGUAGGUUAUAACACAAUGGCACAAUCCUAAAAAACCUCCAAAGGAGGGAGUGUGCAGAAAUCAAAAGCGCUUAAAUGGAAAUAAUUUAACAGCAGCUAAAAAACACCCGACCUCCCACACACUAAAUACAUAAAAAGGAUACAGAGUGGUAUCCGUGAAACCCUAAUACCGGUUGUGGCGGGACCGCUGCCUAUUUCGUGAAUUGCUAGGAAAUGUUCCCCAUGUUUUCCCCUGUAC